GACGAACGCUGGCGGCGUGCCUAAUACAUGCAAGUUGAGCGCUGAAGGUUGGUACUUGUACCAACUGGGUGAGAAGCGAACGGGUGAGUAACGCGUGGGGAGUCUGCCUUUGAGCGGGGGUCAACAUUUGGAGACGAAUGCUAAAACCGCAUAAAAACUUUAAACAAAAGUUUUAAGUUUGAAAGAUGCAAUUGCAUCACUAAAAGAUGAUCCCGCGUUGUAUUAGCUAGUUGGUGAGGUAAAGGCUCACCAAGGCGAUGAUACAUAGCCGACCUGAGAGGGUGAUCGGCCACAUUGGGACUGAGACACGGCCCAAACUCCUACGGGAGGCAGCAGUAGGGAAUCUUCGGCAAUGGACGAAAGUCUGACCGAGCAACGCCGCGUGAGUGAAGAAGGUUUUCGGAUCGUAAAACUCUGUUGGUAGAGAAGAACGUUGGUGAGAGUGGAAAGCUCAUCAAGUGACGGUAACUACCCAGAAAGGGACGGCUAACUACGUG
rnacentral:rRNA from 1 species